rnacentral:rRNA from 1 species
UGAGGAACAUGACCUUCGGCGGGGGAGUAGCCGGCCCAACGGCCGGGUAAUACCGCGUACGACCACAUGGGGACAUCCCUGAGUGGUGAAAGCAGCAAUGCGCCGAUGGAGUGCCUCGCGGCCUAUUAGCUAGUUGGUGAGGUAACGGCUCACCAAGGCGACGACGGGUAGCCGGCCUGAGAGGGUGACCGGCCACACUGGGACUGAGACACGGCCCAGACUCCGUACGGGGAGGCAGCAGG